rnacentral:rRNA from 1 species
GACGAACGCUGGCGGCGUGCUUAACACAUGCAAGUCGAACGGUGAAGCGCCUUCCUUUUUGGUGGGUGUGGAUGAGUGGCGAACGGGUGAGUAACACGUGAGUAACCUGCCCCCUUCUUCUGGAUAACCGCAUGAAAGUGUGGCUAAUACGGGAUAUUCUGGGUCUGUCGCAUGAUGGGUCUGGGAAAGAUAUUGUUUCGGUGGGGGAUGGGCUCGCGGCCUAUCAGCUUGUUGGUGGGGUGAUGGCCUACCAAGGCGGUGACGGGUAGCCGGCCUGAGAGGGUGGACGGUCACACUGGGACUGAGACACGGCCCAGACUCCUACGGGAGGCAGCGGUGGUGAAUAUUGCACAAUGGGCGCAAGCCUGAUGCAGCGACGCCGCGUGAGGGAUGGAGGCCUUCGGGUUGAGAACCUCUUUCGGCAGUAAAGCAGGCCUGCCUCGUUUGUGGGUGGGUUGACGGUAGCUGGAUAAGAAGCGCCGGCUAACUACGU